ensembl:lncRNA
AGUGGCUCAAGUCCUGCUCCUCUACUGCCAAGCAUCCUGAGAUCACCUCCCAGGCAAACUACUUGCAUUAGCAUCUUUGCCUAAAGGACUGCGUAUGGAAACCCCAGACUGUGACAACAGGAAAGGCAUCUUAAAGGGGUUACUCCGACAGGAAAAUCAGAUCCAUCAUUUCGCAUUAGAUUGAAAACAACAUGUCACUCAUUCUAUUUCAUGUGCACAUUCGAUUUCUUACCCAUAGACCAGUGUCUCCUGGACUCUUACUCGCCAUUUUGAGUGGUCAGGCAUCAUUACCUCCAUAUGUGUACAAGGAAAGAAAAGCCACACGGAGACUUGAACAUACGCGAGGUCAGAGGGAGAAUAGGGCUGCUGUCAAUUUAAGGUGGGAUGCCACCCCUGCAUGGCUUGAUGAGCAGUGUGUAGGUCUGCGCCGAGGAUUUGACCCCGCAAAACCCAGGCUGCCAAAGCGGAGUGCACAAACUUAACCACUACGCCACUGGGCUGGCCCCUGUUUCAAGGAAGAUUAGCCCUGAGCUAACUGCUGCCAAUCCUUCUCUUUUUGCUGAGGAAGACUGGCCCUGAGCUAACAUCCAUGCCCAUCUUCCUCUACUUUAUACGUGGGACGCCUACCACAGCAUGGCUUUUGCCAAGUGGUGCCAUAUUUGCACCCAGGAUCCGAACCGGUGAACCCUGGGCUGCUGAGAAGCAGAACGUGCGCACUUAACUGCUGCACCACCAGGCCAGCCCUCAAGAAAAAUUCUAAUGGGUAGAAGGUGUGAAACACUGACUUAAACAGCAUAUCUCCAAGCCCCAAGGAGGCCGGCUGUGCUUGGGUAACCCUGCCCAGAGGAAACCCGGACACGCUGCUGAGGAGGGCUUCUGGAGCCCAAAGGCUCAGCACAGAGCCUGGGAUUCUGCUAAAAGUCUCCUCUCCCUACAUUUCUGUGAAGAAUUUCCUUUUCCCACUAGUUUCAUAUGUAAUGUGGAAUUGCCUGUCAUUCAGAAAAACUUAAAAAAUAGAGCGUGGUGACAUCUGGCACAGAUCACACUUCUUUGUGAUUUGAUGAAAAAUUCAUGGUCUAUUAUAAUGUAAGACUUAUGCAUUGGAACUAUUAUAUCUCUAACAUAGGAUUCUGUGCUUUCAGCCCACAAUGCCGAAAGUACUCAAUUGUCACUUCUUCACAGAUUCAAUGGAAUAAGUAGAGAAAAUACAGCUCAGGGUAAUGAGGGGACGCUGCCACCACAGAUGAUGGUGUCAAUCCCUCUAUAAUCAACAGAUCUUCAUGUCACUUAUUCUAAACGUUAAAGAGGCCAACUAACAAAGAGUUCAUUAACAUUGUGCUCAAGUGAACAAAUACUCUGACCCAUUCACUGAUCUUCAAUGUCAUACCCCUUGUUUCAGUCAUGGUCCCAUCAGGAAAACAGAACUCAUAACAGUUGCUUUAACAGAGUGAAUUUAAUAUAAGGAAUUGGUUAAACUGGUGUUGGAGGAUGAAAAACAGGUAAAGACAACACGGAGGUAUCUCAGAGACAGCAACUGCUGGAAGCAGCCACUACCCCUAGGGCUUGGUGGGAAGAGGUUGGGGUUAUCUGAACCUAGAAGAUGGAAGGAAGGUCCCUGUGGGGCUGCAACCCAGAUCUGUGACUGGGAUUCUGAUCUGAUGUGAUGCUUCUGACAUGGCUGAGCAAGUGCAAUAAGGCUGGUCUGAUGUAGGACAAGAGCAGGAACUGGAACCAACUGCUAGGGCCAGAGGGAAGAGCCAUUGCUGGCGAGACGCUAACAGGAGCCACAAUAACCAAGAGGGAGCUCAGCUUGCUCCCUCCUCCAGGCUUGCUGUGUCCUUCUAGUGUUCCCUCAUGGCAGAGCCUAACAGGGAGCAGCUGGCACAGCAGAAAUGGAGAAGAGUGAGUUUGGGGCUGAGAGACAAUAGCUUAAUAAUUGGCACACUUCCCCUUGUUCUUCUGAGCAGAUAUCUCUGGUGUCCCUUGUUUUCCAUGAAAAGUAGGGGCUGUGAUGGAUGUCUGGAUAUGCUCAGCUCUGAAAGGCAGCCCCUAAUUUGGACGUGUUAAGGAACGAGGCUGGCAUGGCAUUUCCCAGUUCCU